CAAAUAUCAUUUUCAAACAUUGUAGUUCACAUACACAUGACAGCUAUACAUAUAUUAAGAAAUAUCAUAAGUGUUAAAACAAACAAAAUCAAUUGUAUAAAUCAAAAAAGGAAACGAACAAUUAUGCUUCAUGUAGCCUACUGAAGUUUAUUUCAGAAAUUAAAAAAAAAGGGAAAAGAAGAAAAUGACAAUCAAAUAGGAAACAGCAAUUAAAAAGGAAAUGGAUCAAACCGAUAAGGGGUGGUUGGGGGCAAGACUUAAAAUUGAAAUUAAGAAAUUUUGAACAUGAACAAUUAAAAAUGGGAUAAAUUUGUGACAAAACGCUGUUUUUGGUUCAUGUAAAGCUAAACCGA
rnacentral:lncRNA from 1 species